GGGGCGGUAGCUCAGUGGUCAGAGCAGGGGACUCAUAAUCCCUGGGUCGUGGGUUCGAUCCCCACCCGCCCCA
rnacentral:tRNA from 3 species